rnacentral:rRNA from 1 species
UGGGGAAUAUUGGACAAUGGGCGAAAGCCUGAUCCAGCCAUGCCGCGUGUGUGAAGAAGGUCUUCGGAUUGUAAAGCACUUUAAGUUGGGAGGAAGGGCAUUAACCUAAUACGUUAGUGUUUUGACGUUACAGACAGAAUAAGCACCGGCUAACUCUGUGCCAGCAGCCGCGGUCAUACAGAGGGUGCAAGCGUUAAUCGGAAUUACUGGGCGUAAAGCGCGCGUAGGUGGUUUGUUAAGUUGGAUGUGAAAUCCCCGGGCUCAACCUGGGAACUGCAUUCAAAACUGACUGACUAGAGUAUGGUAGAGGGUGGUGGAAUUUCCUGUGUAGCGGUGAAAUGCGUAGAUAUAGGAAGGAACACCAGUGGCGAAGGCGACCACCUGGACUAAUACUGACACUGAGGUGCGAAAGCGUGGGGAGCAAACA